AACGAUAGAAAAUGAAAAGAACAUCGAAAAGAAAAAAAUCAGAAGGGUAACACCGAAAUUAAACGACUAUAAGGGGUUUGCUUUUUAGUGCUUUCCGCUUCCUCACGCAUUGUCAUAUCAUAUUCUUCUUACGGCGAUGACAAUUUCGUUACCGACGCUAUUAAAGUAGCUCCGACCAAAAUCUUAAAAGAAAAAAAAAGGGUAUAUAUGCUGCGCCUUGAUUAUUGAUUUCGCCCCUCUCUUUUCGACGUUUAAUGGAGUAUUUUCUGUUUUCGAGAAAGACGUGUG
rnacentral:sRNA from 1 species